ACAAAUGGGGAAAAAAAUAACGCCACGACUUUGAUUCAGCUAACAAUAAUAAAAAUCUCAUCUCUCUCUCUCUACUCUCUCUCUGCAACACAGUUUUCUUUUUUUCAAUCAUCAAAAUUCUCUCUCUCUCCACCCCACCGAGGUUUGAGUUUACUCUUCAUACAAUCCUUCUUUUUUUUUUUUCUCUCUGUAAAUAAAUAUACAAAGCACAUACGCGACGUGUGUAUAUUUUCUGUAUCUGUAAUCGUUUGGGGGUUUUCUGUAUAUAUAAAUAAUUUCUGUUUAUUUCAAUUUUUUUCCGCUUGUAGGUUUUUGGAUUUCGGGGGUGGGGUGUUUUGUGUUGCUCAAUUUGUUGAUUUAGCGUCUUAAUUCUUCGAAUUGAGCUGUGGAAUUUGAUGGGUUUUUAGUAAAGUUUGAAUCUUUGCGUUCGUAGGAGGCUUUUGUUUGUGUAAAGUAUAAUUAGGGUUUUUUCUUUAGCAAUAAAUACACCUGUAGUAGAAUACAGGUUGAAUAUAUACUCUGUGUUGUUUGUGUAUUUCUUCAUUGUAUUGAAGGGUUUUCGAUUAGAUCGUAAUUUGUCGAACCCGAAUUUAGUGUUAACCUAUUG
rnacentral:lncRNA from 1 species